UACGUAGGGUGCGAGCGUUGUCCGGAAUUACUGGGCGUAAAGAGCUCGUAGGUGGUUUGUCGCGUCGUCUGUGAAAUUCCGGGGCUCAACUCCGGGCGUGCAGGCGAUACGGGCAUAACUUGAGUGCUGUAGGGGAGACUGGAAUUCCUGGUGUAGCGGUGAAAUGCGCAGAUAUCAGGAGGAACACCGAUGGCGAAGGCAGGUCUCUGGGCAGUAACUGACGCUGAGGAGCGAAAGCAUGGGUAGCGAACAGG
rnacentral:rRNA from 1 species